rnacentral:rRNA from 1 species
GAUUAACGCUAGCGGCAGGCCUAAUACAUGCAAGUCGAACGGUAACAGAGGUAGCAAUACCCGCUGACGAGUGGCGCACGGGUGCGUAACACGUAUGCAACCUACCUAUAACUGGGGAAUAGCCUUCCGAAAGGAAGAUUAACACCGCAUAACAUCAUUCUACGGCAUCGCAGAAUGAUCAAACCUCCGGGGGUUAUAGAUGGGCAUGCGUAACAUUAGCUAGUUGGUGAGGUAACGGCUCACCAAGGCUACGAUGUUUAGGGGUCUGAGAGGAUGAUCCCCCACACUGGUACUGAGACACGGACCAGACUCCUACGGGAGGCAGCAGUGGGGAAUCUUGCGCAAUGGGCGAAAGCCUGACGCAGCGACGCCGCGUGAGGGAUGACGGCCUGG